ACAUCCAGAGAACUUGGCAGAGAUGCCUUGGUGCCUUCGGGAACUCUGAGACAGGUGCUGCAUGGCUGUCGUCAGCUCGUGUUGUGAAAUGUUGGGUUAAGUCCCGNAACGAGCGCAACCCUAUCCUUUGUUGCCAGCGAUUCGGUCGGGAACUCAAAGGAGACUGCCGGUGAUAAACCGGAGGAAGGUGGGGAUGACGUCAAGUCAUCAUGGCCCUUACGAGUAGGGCUACACACGUGCUACAAUGGCGCAUACAAAGAGAAGCGACCUCGCGAGAGCAAGCGGACCUCAUAAAGUGCGUCGUAGUCCGGAUCGGAGUCUGCAACUCGACUCCGUGAAGUCGGAAUCGCUAGUAAUCGUAGAUCAGAAUGCUACGGUGAAUACGUUCCCGGGCCUUGUACACACCGCCCGUCACACCAUGGGAGUGGGUUGCAAAAGAAGUAGAUAGCUUAACCUUCGGGAGGGCGUUUACCACUUUGUGAUUCAUGACUGGGGUGAAGUCGUAACAAGGUAAGCGUAGCGAG
rnacentral:rRNA from 1 species